UCCUCCACUCAACCAUCACUAAUUGAAUCAUCCUCCGAUCCAAAACCCUAAUCGAUCCAAAACCCUAAUUGCUCCCAAAAGUGGCGACCGUUGGACUUUAGCAAUGAGCUAAUGAUUUCUUAGGGUUCAGUUUGUUGUGAACUAUGAACAACAUCUUGUUAUUCUUAAUCGAAGAAGUGGACUUUCAUUGGAGGACAAACUCCCUGGUGAAUCAGUUACAUUAGGCGAAGCAUUAAUGGCGCCAACUGUAAUUUAUGUUAAACAGGGUGCUUAGCAUUAUCAGCAAGGGAGGCCUCAAAGGAAUCACCCACAUAACAGGAUGGAAACAUUGAAGAUGCUGAAAUGAAGCGUACAUUUAAUAUGGGAAUCGGGAUGGUUUUGGUUGCUGGCGAAAAGGCUGCCCAAAGGAAAGAGAUUAAAAAGUUGAACUUAGUUAUAAGGAGCUCAUUAAGGAAAAGGAUGAAGAAAAAGAAAGGUUAAAUGGGAUUAUCGUGGGGUUGUUGGCUGGAAAAGAAAAAGAUAAGGUGGAGAAAGAUACUAUGCUCGAUAGGAUGUCACAAAUUGAAGCUAGGCUACAAACACUUGGUUUUAAAUGUUUCGAUGUUUAUCAUAUUAGGAUAAUUUUAGUUAUCUAAUGUUUUAGCAGGUAUUUCUAUUAGAAUGUUUUAUAUGCUUUUGAUACAGAGAUGUUUUAUAUAAUUUUGAGUUUUCAUAUAUUAGACUUUAAUAUAAUUUUGUAAUU
rnacentral:lncRNA from 1 species